rnacentral:rRNA from 1 species
GAUGAACGCUGGCGGCGUGCCUAAUACAUGCCAGUCGAGCGAACAGACGAGGAGCUUGCUCCUCUGACGUUAGCGGCGGAUGGGUGAGUAACACGUGGAUAACCUACCUAUAAGACUGGGAUAACUUCGGGAAACCGGAGCUAAUACCGGAUAACAUGUUGAACCGCAUGGUUCAACAGUGAAAGACGGUCUUGCUGUCACUUAUAGAUGGAUCCGCGCCGCAUUAGCUAGUUGGUAAGGUAACGGCUUACCAAGGCAACGAUGCGUAGCCGACCUGAGAGGGUGAUCGGCCACACUGGAACUGAGACACGGUCCAGACUCCUACGGGAGGCAGCAGUAGGGAAUCUUCCGCAAUGGGCGAAAGCCUGACGGAGCAACGCCGCGUGAGUGAAGAAGGUCUUCGGAUCGUAAAACUCUGUUAUUAGGGAAGAACAAAUGUGUAAGUAACUAUGCACGUCUUGACGGUACCUAAUCAGAAAGCCACGGCUAACUACGUG